CCACAUUACCAAAAGAAAAUAUACAUCACCAAAAUUUGCUGAAGUCGGGUCUGGUUUUGGAUGCUGGUUCAGUACUUGACUUCUACAACUUGCGCAUGGAAACAACCGUACGCUGAGUAUUUCAUACUCAGUGGUAUUAUUAUAAAUUAAACUAUUUAAUAAUAAUAAAAUUUCAAACAUCAAUCAUAAGCUUUAUAAAUCACUUAAACUAAAUAUACAUAUUUAUAUAUCACUUCAUAAGUCUUAAAUUCAUAUAUAUAUAUAUAUAUAUAUAUAUAUUACAUACUAAUUCAAUUCAUAAUUUAACUCAUACAUUCUUUCUCGUACUUUUCAAUAGUGCCAAAUCAAUCAAUUUCAUUUUCAAUUUUUCAUUUCAAUUAUUUACCCUAUUAACAAGCUUCGGACUCUGACAGAUACGCGGAUUCCACCCAAACACACCAGAAUAUCCAACCUAAACACAACCGGAAUAAUAUAAAUCCUCCAUAACACACCAGUAUAUCAUAUCCUCCCAAACACACCAAUAAGGCAUUAGAUGCAUCUUCGGAUAAACCGAAGCAUAUAAUAACAGAAUCAUCUUCUCGGCCGAACUACAAAUCUCCUCAUCAUAUCAUAAAUCCUAUGGCAUGCCAUUUGUAUCCAAUCUAGUCCGAUAAGUUAAUAGGGUAUUAUUUUACUUUUCUAAUUUCGAAUUCAUUUUCACAACAAUUUCAAAUAUUCAAACAAUUCAAAACAUCUAUUAUUUCAAUUCACAUAUAAUUCAAUAUUCACACAUAUUAUUACUUAAUUUCAAAUGUUAUUACUUACCUUACUUUAAAUGUCCCAUGAUUACAAUUUCAAUGUAGCAUUUAGUAAAUAGUUUAAGUUAUAGUAAUACAAAUCCGGAAUACGCGUUUACUCCUCAACGAUCUUUUCUUUUCCUUUAGAUGCCGACGCCUCAUUUUCCUUGUUAGCUACGAAAAUAGUAAAAUUUUUCACUAUUAAUUACAACAUUAAAAAAAAUUUAAAUUUUAUUCAAUUCCUACUUAUUCCCAAUUUAAUUCUAACCAAGCUUACUUACUUUUCUAACUUAAUUCAUACUUCUUUUCUACUUAAUUUCUUGCCAUAUUUAACUCAAUUAUUCAAUAUUCAUAAUUAAACCCUAAUUUAAGACUUUUUAUAACUUAAUCCCAACUAUGUAAAACUUAUAACUUAGUUUACAAUUCAAUCUUUUUAUCUAUUCUAACUAGAAAUUCUAUCAACUAAACCCCUAAUUUAACAACUUAUUCAAAAUGAAUCGUGUUCAAAAACCUAUGAACUUCCAUAACCUCCACUUAAUUUCAACAAAACUUUGUUUUAAAGCUUCUAAAACAUCAAAAUUAAGAGAAAAUGGCUAAAUUUAGCUUACCAAUUAAACUUGAAGCUUUAAAAUCCCAAUUUUCCCCUUUUCCUUUCUUUCCCUUUUUUUCUUCCGCUGUUUUCGUCUUUUUCUCUGUUUCUUUUCUGUUCUUCUUUUGUUUCUUUGUCUUUUUAUUUUACUUACUUUACUUUAUUUAUUUUAUUUUAACUAAUAACAAUAAUAAUUAAUAAUAUAUUAUAUAAAAAAAUAUUUUACUUAUUAUUUAAGCAUACAUUUAUUUUUAUUUUAAGUGUACCUAUAUAAUUAUUACUAUUACACUUGUCUUUAAUCUUUACCAUACAUUUGUCAUCUAUUUAGUUUAUUUAAUAUAAUAUAAUUAUUACUAUUACAGUUAUGCCGCCCCAUUUAUUUUUAAUGGCUUAAUUGUCAUUUUAGUCCUUUUUAUUUUCUAUUAAUCUAUAAUUCAACUUUUACCCCUAGUUCAAUUUAGUCUUUUUU
rnacentral:lncRNA from 1 species